GUGAGUUGUCAGGGCCAUCGGCGCAGGAUUGCGGAGAGAGGGAUCUAUAUUUCUGUAGGGUGCCUUAUCCGGUCAUUGGUCUAAACUGGCAUCAUGGAUGAUGAGGAAGCGAGUGCACUGGCUGUACUUUUGGUGGCACUGCUGUCGAUGCUGGCAUCGAUAAGCUGACAGUGAAGACAACAUCAACAGAUGAUAGCAUGGCGGAUAGCUCCCCAAAAGUUUGAAAGAGGUACCAGAGAUGCGUGAGGAGAAGGAAGGGAAGCACAGACUGGUGGAUCAAGAUCGUUCUGACAUCUGAUAAUGACACUUUCCUGGAAAACUUUAGGGUUGGGCCAGUUCUGGCACCAAAUCCUGCCACUCCUGGACCUGCCGUGGAACUAAACUGCCGGGUGGUCAUCGCCAUAUAUGUUCUCUCCACUACCAUGGAGUUCAGGAACAUCGGGCACCUGUUCGGUGUUCAUAAGUGGACAGUCUUCUCAUUCUACAGGAAGUUUGUCCGCGCUCUGAUAACAGCAUGCCUGCAUGACUUCAUUCGGCUGCCAUCGGACGAGGAGGCCGCCGCCUCAGCCCAGGAGGCCUGGGAACGGACGGGAUUCCCUGGGCACGGCGCGUGUGGGCGACUUGGCUGUGCCGCCAAUGAUAGCUGGCGGCCCAGCGUACCCACUUCUUCCCUGGCUGAUGAAGGGUUAUACCGGAGCCCUCACCGAGCGGCAGAAGCAUUUCAACACCAGGCACAGCCAUGCACGCGUCGCUGUCGAGCAUUGCUCAGGCCGUUUUAAAGGGAGAUGGCGCCGGCUCCUAAAACGUUCGGAAAUUUGCUAUGAGGUUAUCCCAGCAGCUGCGUUUGCAUGUGCGAUACUUCACAACAUCGUGGAGGAGCGGGGUGAGCCAUUUAGGGACGGCUGGUUGGAAGUAGCGGCCGUGGACGAGGCCCAGCAGCCACCUGGCGAUAUUGGCCGCUCAAUUCUGGGAGCUGACGGGCGGCAGACAGCAGUGACCCGGGAACUGAUCGCGGGCUUCCUGUGGACACGAUGAAGGACCCUUUGAUUGUGUGGCGCAAAGCCUGCAGUGGCCCUCCCCUCGUUCGUUGUAUAUAUGCCGUAAAUACUUUUGCAUUGCACAUGAAGGGCAGUCAGUAAACUGAGAUCUGUGAAAGCUAACAUUUCUCCCUACUUGGUGUUAAACACACCUAUAACGUCGUGGAAAAGCCGUAGCUAACGACAUCAAGCCGAGUGUGGCGCAUGGCAUCGCGGUCUGCAAACAUGAUGAUCACUUAUUAAAUGUUAGCUAAAAUUGUUGCGGUAUGUAGGGUACCAUACUGUCAUUGUGCAGAUGCUGACUAACCUCUAGCUGAAGGAAGUACUUAAGAACAAUGCGUUGUUGUCAGUAAGAUAAUUUCUUUCUUAAAUUAUACACAAACACGAGUACGAAUGUACGACACAGAACACAAAUACGAAAGUACACAAGUACAGGAGUCCGAAGCAGGAUUUACAGGUUUGCGAUACUUGCGGGCACGUACAAGAUUUUUGCAAAUGGUCACUAUAAUACACAAUACACAUUACUAAAUACGAUACACGACACGCAUCAAAUGAUACACGAAAACUAUAUCACACGAGUUACAGAUACACAUUUACACACAGAUACAAUAUGUACACACGGACUAUACAUACGCGGAAGGUGCAAGACUAUCGGUCGUCUCGACGCUCCACCCUUGCAGCGAGCAAGCGCACACACUGCUCUGCCGCGGCCGCGAUGCGCGCCGUCACCUCCAAUUCCAGAGAACGCUACCGCUCCUCCAUCUCCACCAUCCGCCGGAGGAGCAUUUCGUAACAGUCGUCGCAUCCCGCAGCGCCA